rnacentral:tRNA from 1 species
UCCCCGGUUGGUCUGUCGGCAGGGCCCGCCUGACUUUGAAUCAGGACAAGCGACGCAGGUUCGACUCCUGCCCGGGGAGCCA